rnacentral:tRNA from 1 species
GCCCGGGUGGCGGAACUGGUAGACGCGCUGGAUUCAAAAUCCAGUACUGGCAACAGUGUGAGAGUUCGAUUCUCUCCCCGGGCA